rnacentral:rRNA from 1 species
CUCGAAGUUAAAAGAGCUAAGAAAAUAUUUUUUUUAUUGUAAAAUAACUAUUAAUAAUAUUUUCUUAGUAAUGAAAUGUUAUUCGUUUUUAAAUAUAUCUAGUUUUUUAAGAAAUAAAUUUAAUUUAUUUAUUGAAAAUAAAAAAUUUAUUUAUUAAUUUUUUAUUAUUAAUAUUAAAUAUUUUAAGGGAUGAGCUUUAAAAUUUAUUUUUAUUAAUUUUUAAAAGUAAUUAAAUUGUAAGAUUAGAAUUUUCUAUCAUUAAAAGGAUGUUAAAAUUAAUUUAUUAUAUUAUAUUAUUUUUAUUUAUUAUAAAUUUUUUAUUAAAAUUUAAAUUUUAAUAAAAAAAAAUUAGUAAUUAUGAUAAAAUUAGUAUAAUUUAUUUUAUUAAGUAUUUUUAUUUAAAAGGUUUAAUAAAGGAACUCGGCAAAUAAUUUUUUACCUGUUUAUUAAAAACAUGGCCUUUUGCGUAGAAUUUAAGGUCUGACCUGCCCACUGAAAUUUUAAAUGGCCGUGGUAUUUUGACCGUGCUAAGGUAGCAUAAUCAUUAGUUUUUUAAUUAAAAACUGGAAUGAAGGGUUGGAUAAGAAAAUGACUGUCUCUAUUUAAUUUAAUUAGAAUUUUAUUUUUAAGUUAAAAAGCUUAAAUAAAUUUAAAAGACGAGAAGACCCUAUAGAGUUUUAUUAAUAAAUAAAAAAUAUAUUUUAGUAUUAAUUUAUUUUGUUUAUUUAUUAAUUUAAUUGGGGUGAUUGAAAAAUUUAAUUAACUUUUUUUAUUUAAUAACAUUAAUUUAUGAAUUAAUGAUCCAAUAUUUUUGAUUAUAAGAUAAAAUUACCUUAGGGAUAACAGCGUAAUUUUUUUAGAAAGUUCAUAUUAAAAGAAAAGAUUGCGACCUCGAUGUUGGAUUAAAAUAAAUUUUUGGUGUAGAAGCUAAAAUAUUAGGUCUGUUCGACCUUUAAAAUUUUACAUGAUCUGAGUUUAAACCGGUGUGAGCCAGGUUGGUUUCUAUCUUUAAUAAGUUAAUAUAUUUUAGUACGAAAGGAUCAGAUAU